AUGACAUUUUUGCCUCUUGGGAUCUCCUUUGCCCAUGUUUACUUUUUCCUCAGCAAGGCACCAGUCGCACAGUGCCUGUCUGGCAAUCACCUACGCUGGCACUGUUUCUCUAAAAUGCUUUUCUCCAUCUUUUGGUUUCUAUGGAUAAAGGAAAGUCAAAGACAAAUUUAUUUCUGCGUUUGUGUGUAUUCUUAUUAUUUAAGACAUUUGGAAAUACAGCAUCUAAUUGUUGCAUGUUUCAAACCCAUAUCCAAUCAUCAGCAAAUACUGUAUACUUUACCUUCAACUACAUCCUAAAUCUGACCUCUUCAUACCUCCUCCUCUACGACUGUGCUCCAGGUGACCUUUUUCUCUCAUCUGGAUGACUAUAGCUUCCUAGCUGCUUGUCUGGGUUCUGCUUCUCUUAUUUUUCUUCUACCAUUAGGUCUCCCCCCAGCAAUCAAGUGAGGGUUGGUUGAUUGGUUGGUUGGUUGGUUCGUUUGAGACAGAGCCUUGCUCUGUCACCCAGCCUGGAGUGCAGUGGUGUGAUCUCUGCUCACUGCAAUCUCCACCUCCUGGGUUCAAGAGAUUCUCCUGCUUCAGUCUCCUGAGUAGCUGAAAUUACAAGCAUGUGCCACUGCGCCUGGCUUAUUUUUGUGUUUUUAGUAGAGAUGGGUUUUCACCGUGUUGGCCAGGCGGGUCUUGAAUUCCUGGCCUCAAGUGAUCCACCCACUUUGGCCUUCCAGUGUGCUGAGAUUAAGCCACCAGGCCCGACCUCAGGUGAGGUUUUUAAGAUGCAGGUCAGUCAAGACAUUUCUGUCUCCCAUCACUCAGCAUGGUUGAGUCCUUACUUCCGCUUACAAGUUUGAUCAGCUUGAUCCAUUUGCUGGCUACUUCUCCAAACUCAUCUCUGCUCCGUGCAUGUCAGCCUCUUUUGCUAUCCACAUUCACAACCACUCCAAUUCCAGGAUCUUUGCAUUUGCAGUUCUUUGUGCCUAGAACACUCUUUCCCAAAUGUUUGCCCUGAUGCUCGAUGUCUUCCUUCAGAUGUCUAGCUAAUUGCCUCCUCCUCGCUGAGGCCUUCCUUCACCACUCAGUAUAAAAUAGCACCUCCUGAGCCCAGCAUGGUGGCUCACGCCUGUAAUCCAAGCACUUUGGAGGCCAAGGCGGGCAGAUCACCUGCGGUCAGGAGUUCAAGACCAGCCUGACCAACAUGGUGAAACCCUGUCUUAAAAAAAAAAAAAAAAUAGCACCUCCUGUACUCCUUAUUCCCAGAUCAUGCUUUUCUUGACAAUACUUCUGAUUUUUAAAUUAAUAUUAUUUGAGACAGGGUCUCACUCUGUUGCCCAGACUGGAAUGCAGUGGCUGGAUCUGGGCUCACUGUAACCUCUGCCUCCUGGGCUCAAGUGAUCCUCUCGUUACAGCCUCCCAAGUAGCUGGGUCUACCGGUACACGCCACCACACCCAGCUAAUUUUUGUAUUUUUAGUAGAGACAGGGUUUCAUCAUGUUGCCCAGGCUGGCUCCAAAUUCCUGAGCUUAAGUGAUCCACUGGCCUUGGCUUCCCAAAGUGCUGGAAUUACUGUAGGUGUGAGAUGUUUCGAAAAUAUGCAUUUAAACAUCUGUAUGUGUUUGUCUGUCUUCCACCAUUAAGAUAGAAACUCUUUGAGACUAGGAACUUUGUUCUUUUUUACUGCUGGAUUGGCAGGGCACAGAACAAGCCAUACAUGUAAUAGGCACUCAGCAAUUAUGUUUGAAUGAAUCUUUCUUUCAUUUACACUUUUUUUUUGCAACAUAUUACCCCAAAUUGCAAAGGCUGAGCUUGACUCUAUGCUAUUGGAGACCUCUCUACCAGAAAGAGGAAACAGUUGUCUCUGCCAAUAUCACCUUCUUUAAAAAAAUCAUUUUUAAUUGACAAGUAAUUGUACAUAUCAAUACUUCAUUUUAUUAAACACUCUUUCAUGCCAAUGCCUAAUGAAGGAUAAAUACAAGUCCGCAGCUAUGUUCUUCCUAUUCCGGGUUCCUCAAGGAGAGGGCUAUGGGGGUGAAUAAACCUUUGGAGGAGGGAAAACAAAGCCAUUUCUUGAUGCUGAAGAGAAUAUACGUCAUGUUUUUUUUUUUUUCCCCUGAAGCUGCAGGCAUCACGGGGAUUAUGAACACCCACAUCCUCGCUUUCCCCCAGGACUUCUUUGAGAGAUAAGUUGAAGAGAAGGGAUUUGGGGGCUGGUGUUCCCUAAUGUUGCAAGGCUUAUUUUAAUUGGAAGAACACCCAGUUAAUGGAAAGAAAAUAGCAUGCUCUUAAGCCUAAAUCUAGAUUGAAGUGAACGAUGCGCCUUUACGUUCGCUGUGGAUCCUGUUUACUGGGCUGGAUAAAGAAUCAGAGUGGAUUUAGAUUAUUGUACUACGCACUAUUAUUAUUAUUAUUAUUAUUAUUAGACUGAGUCUUGCUCUGUUGCCCAGGCUGUGCAGUGGCCUGAUAUUCACUUGCUGCUACCUCUGCCUCCUAGGUUCAAGUGAUUCUCCUGCCUCAGUCUCCUGAGUAGCUGGGAUUACAGGUGUGUGCCACCAUGCCCUGCUAAUUUUUGUAUUUUUAGUAGAGAUGGGUUUCACCAUGUUGAUCAGAUUGGUCUCUAACUCCUGACCUCACGAUCCACCUGCCUCAGCCUCCCAAAGUGCUGGGACUACAGACGUAAGCCACUGCUCCUGGCCAAUUAUUCUUAAUUUCAUAAUGAAUAGCAGUCCUACAAGGUAGAUA
ensembl:lncRNA